rnacentral:rRNA from 1 species
AACGAACGCUGGCGGCAGGCUUAACACAUGCAAAUCGAACGAGAUCUUCGGAUCUAGUGGCAGACGGGUGAGGAACACGUGGGAACAUCCCUUUCAGUUCGGAAUAACGUUGGGAAACUAACGCUAAUACCGGAUACGUCCUUCGGGAGAAAGAUUUAUCGCUGAAAGAUUGGCCCGCGUCUGAUUAGCUAGUUGGUGAGGUAAUGGCUCACCAAGGCUACGAUCAGUAGCUGAUCUGAGAGGAUGAUCAGCCACAUUGGGACUGAGACACGGCCCAAACGCGUACGGGAGGCAGCAGUGGGGAAUAUUGGACAAUGGGCGCAAGCCUGAUCCAGCCAUGCCGCGUGAGUGAUGACGGCCUUCGGGUUGUAAAGCUCUUUUGUCCGGGAAGAUAAUGACUGUACCGGAAGAAUAAGCCCCGGCAAACUUCGUGCCAGCAGCCGCCGUAA